rnacentral:rRNA from 1 species
UACGGAGGGGGUUAGCGUUGUUCGGAAUGACUGGGCGUAAAGAGCUCGUAGGCGGUCUGUCGCGUCUGCUGUGAAAACUCAGGGCUUAACCCUGAGCUUGCAGUGGGUACGGGCAGACUAGAGUGCGGUAGGGGAGACUGGAAUUCCUGGUGUAGCGGUGAAAUGCGCAGAUAUCAGGAGGAACACCGGUGGCGAAGGCGGGUCUCUGGGCCGUAACUGACGCUGGAGACGGCGAAAGCCGUGGGGAGCGAACAGG